rnacentral:tRNA from 1 species
GGCCGGAUAGGACGAGGUCUUGGCCAGGUCCUGCCAGGCCUGGAAGUCCUCGGCGGUCAUGUGCGCCAGUUCGACACCGGCAUCGGCAA